AACGCUAGCUACAGGCUUAACACAUGCAAGUCGCGGGGUAACGAGAGGGAAGCUUGCUUUCCUUGUCGACGACCGGCGCACGGGUGAGUAACGCGUAUCCAACCUGCCCAUUACCACGGGAUACCCCGUCGAAAGGCGGCCUAAUACCGUAUGCAGUCGUCAGAUGACAUCAGAGGACGACGAAAGGAUUGGCGGUAAUGGAUGGGGAUGCGUCUGAUUAGGUAGUUGGAGGGGUAACGGCCCACCAAGCCAUCGAUCAGUAGGGGUUCUGAGAGGAAGGUCCCCCACAUUGGAACUGAGACACGGUCCAAACUCCUACGGGAGGCAGCAGUGAGGAAUAUUGGUCAAUGGGCGCGAGCCUGAACCAGCCAAGUAGCGUGAGGGACGACGGCCCUAUGGGUUGUAAACCUCUUUUAUGCGGGAAUAAAAUGUUUGACGUGUCAUUCAUUGUAGGUACCGCAAGAAUAAGGACCGGCUAAUUCCGUGCCAGCAGCCGCGGUAAUACGGAAGGUCCAGGCGUUAUCCGGAUUUAUUGGGUUUAAAGGGAGCGUAGGCCGCAAGUCAAGCGUGUUGUGAAAUGCAGGGGCUCAACCUCUGGAUUGCAGCGCGAACUGGCAUGCUUGAGUACGCACGAGGUAGGCGGAAUUUGUGGUGUAGCGGUGAAAUGCUUANAUAUCACGAAGAACUCCGAUUG
rnacentral:rRNA from 1 species